rnacentral:lncRNA from 1 species
AUGUGGUGUGUCCAUUCGGAUGUGGAGUUUGGAGAGGCCCUCCUUGUUUUCCAGGCUGUGAGCCAUGGGAAGCGUGUCAACCAUGUCAAACCAAAGGAUCAAGAAAUCGAAGAUUCCGUUCACUUGCCUUGGAGUUUGAGUCUCCAGACCAGUGCCAAGGAGCCAAAGAGAAGAAAUGAGAAUAACCAAGGUUUAUGAAACCUAUAUAAAAACCUGUGAAACCUACACCGUCUGUGGAUGGAAUGUGUACUACUCUAGGAAAUGAAUAAAUACGUUAUCAAUAGCAGGGGAAUCAGUUGAACUUAACGUGACUCAAAGUUAGGAAGUGUGGGGUUAAAAAAAUGUAGGGUUCAUUGGAUUUUUUCUUUCCUUUUUAAAUUUAAAAACUUCAAGUUACCCUGGGAAAAAUGACCAAGAAAUAGUAGAAAAUAACCACUUUGCUUCAAAAGAUGUUUUGCAGCAAUUAGCCAAAGAAGAAGCCGUAUCCUCUGCAAGACAUCCUACUCUGUUGUGUGCAGUAGGGAUGGCUGUUCCUUGACCCCUCUCACUCACCUACCUCUGGCGCUUUGUUCAGGGGGCAGAGGCAGAGCGAGACCCUUUUGGUAAAUUUAUCCUGUUGGAAUAGCAAAUGGAGAAUGCUGUAAUGCAUUCACCCUUUCCUCUAUCCAUCCAUCAAUCAUUGUAUUAAUCAAUCAAUUGAAAAGCCUGUUUAAGCAUCUCUCUACAGCCUAUUAUCCACACUGAGUCAAAGAAACAUGGCUUCUAUGCUUUGCAGUUUGUAGUUUAAGAGAAAACAACAAUGGAGGUAGGCACGGAGGAUAAAUAGACAACAGGUAAAACACUGAACAAGUAUGUGAAAUGAAAAGAAUGAUAAUAUUAACAUUGUCAAUCAAUUAACAGGUAGUUAUGCUGUGGUAAUUACAUGCUCAGCACUGGGUUUGGGUGUUCUCCAAGUUAAAUAGCUAAAAAUCGGAAGAAUUUUUUUUUUUAUUAAUUACAGUUUUAAGUUGAGAAACUAAAGAAGUUUACUUUCCACUCUGCAUAAAGCCUUGUGGAGGCAAUAGGAUGGGAAUGAAAGGAGGUUGUGUGUUCCCACUUUGGUACUUGUUGAAAAGAAUAAAAUAGCUAUGAUGGGAGAGUGAACAAGUGAUGGUUGAGACACUUGGAUAACCUUAAAAUCACAAAAGUGCAGAGUUGGAAUGGGCCUGAAAAAUCAUUUUUUCAAUGCUUCCCACGGUACCUAAAAAUUGAGGCAAAUUCAGAGGUUUGUUUUGUGAAUAAGAUGUUGGUCAAGUAGGCAUGAGAGGAGCCUGCUAAGGGACACAGAAGGAG